AUUGAACGCUGGCGGCAUGCCUUACACAUGCAAGUCGAACGGUAACGGGCCUUCGGGUGCCGACGAGUGGCGAACGGGUGAGUAAUGCAUCGGAACGUACCCAUCAGUGGGGGAUAACUCUCCGAAAGGAGGGCUAAUACCGCAUAUUCUGUGCGCAGGAAAGCGGGGGACCGCAAGGCCUCGCGCUGAUUGAGCGGCCGAUGUCAGAUUAGCUAGUUGGUGGGGUAAAGGCCUACCAAGGCGACGAUCUGUAGCGGGUCUGAGAGGAUGAUCCGACACACUGGGACUGAGACACGGCCCAGACUCCUACGGGAGGCAGCAGUGGGGAAUAUUGGACAAUGGGCGGAAGCCUGAUCCAGCCAUGCCGCGUGUGUGAAGAAGGCCUUUUGGUUGUAAAGCACUUUAAGCGAGGAGGAGGCUACCUGGAUUAAUACUCUAGGAUAGUGGACGUUACUCGCAGAAUAAGCACCGGCUAACUCUGUGCCAGCCGCCGCAGUAA
rnacentral:rRNA from 1 species